rnacentral:rRNA from 1 species
UACGUAGGGUGCGAGCGUUAAUCGGAAUUACUGGGCGUAAAGCGUGCGCAGGCGGCUUUGCAAGACAGAUGUGAAAUCCCCGGGCUCAACCUGGGAACUGCAUUUGUGACUGCACGGCUGGAGUGCGGCAGAGGGGGAUGGAAUUCCGCGUGUAGCAGUGAAAUGCGUAGAUAUGCGGAGGAACACCGAUGGCGAAGGCAAUCCCCUGGGCCUGCACUGACGCUCAUGCACGAAAGCGUGGGGAGCAAACAGG